UGCUCAGGACGAACGCUGGCGGCGUGCCUAAUACAUGCAAGUCGAGCGAACUAAUGGGAGCUUGCUCCCAAAGGUUAGCGGCGGACGGGUGAGUAACACGUGGGCAACCUGCCCUGUAGAUCGGGAUAACAUCGAGAAAUCGGUGCUAAUACCGGAUAAUUUCUAGAAUCUCAUGGUUCUAGAAUAAAAGAUGGCUCCGGCUAUCACUACGGGAUGGGCCCGCGGCGCAUUAGCUAGUUGGUAAGGUAACGGCUUACCAAGGCGACGAUGCGUAGCCGACCUGAGAGGGUGAUCGGCCACACUGGGACUGAGACACGGCCCAGACUCCUACGGGAGGCAGCAGUAGGGAAUCUUCCGCAAUGGACGAAAGUCUGACGGAGCAACGCCGCGUGAGUGAUGAAGGAUUUCGGUUCGUAAAGCUCUGUUGUUAGGGAAGAACAAGUGCCGUUCAAAUAGGGCGCACCUUGACGGACCUAACCA
rnacentral:rRNA from 1 species